rnacentral:rRNA from 1 species
GCCCUAGUAACGGCGAGUGAAGCGGCAACAGCUCAAUUUGAAAUCUGGCCCUCGGGUCCGAGUUGUAAUUUGUAGAGGAUGCUUUUGGUGCGGUGCCUUCCGAGUUCCCUGGAACGGGACGCCAUAGAGGGUGAGAGCCCCGUCUGGUUGGACACCAAGCCUCUGUAAAGCUCCUUCGACGAGUCGAGUAGUUUGGGAAUGCUGCUCUAAAUGGGAGGUAUAUGUCUUCUAAAGCUAAAUACCGGCCAGAGACCGAUAGCGCACAAGUAGAGUGAUCGAAAGAUGAAAAGCACUUUGAAAAGAGAGUUAAAUAGUACGUGAAAUUGUUGAAAGGGAAGCGCUUGUGACCAGACUUGGGCUUGGUUAAUCAUCCAGGGUUCUCCCUGGUGCACUUGGCCGGCCCAGGCCAGCAUCAGUUUGCCGCGGGGGAUAAAGGCGUCGGGAAUGUGGCUCCCUCGGGAGUGUUAUAGCCCGGCGUGUAAUACCCUGCGGCGGACUGAGGUUCGCGCAUCUGCAAGGAUGCUGGCGUAAUGGUCAUCAGCGACCCGUCUUGAAACACGGACCAAGGAGUCGUCUUCGUAUGCGAGUGUUCGGGUGUCAAACCCCUACGCGUAAUGAAAGUGAACGCAGGUGAGAGCUUCGGCGCAUCAUCGACCGAUCCUGAUGUUCU